GGGGAAUAUUGGACAAUGGGGGCAACCCUGAUCCAGCGACGCCGCGUGUGUGAAGAAGGCCUGCGGGUUGUAAAGCACUUUUAGUGGGGAUGAAAAGCACAUCACUAACACUGGUGUGUCUUGACCUAACCCAAAGAAAAAGCACCGGCUAACUCUGUGCCAGCAGCCGCGGUAAUACAGAGGGUGCGAGCGUUGUUCGGAUUUACUGGGCGUAAAGGGCGCGUAGGCGGCCACCGCAAGUCGACUGUGAAAUCUCCGGGCUUAACCCGGAAAGGUCAGCCGAUACUGCGGGGCUAGAGUGCAGAAGGGGCAACUGGAAUUCUCGGUGUAGCGGUGAAAUGCGUAGAUAUCGAGAGGAACACCUGCGGCGAAGGCGGGUUGCUGGGCUGACACUGACGCUGAGGCGCGAAAGCUAGGGGAGCGAA
rnacentral:rRNA from 1 species